rnacentral:lncRNA from 1 species
CAAGAUGUCAAAGACUUUGAACCAAGGUCCAACAUUUCAGCUUAUGGAGACAAUGACAUUGAUGUAAAAGAAAAGAAUGGAGCCAUUAAAGAUUUUGAACCUAGACCUAAUAUUUCAGCUUAUGGAGAAAAUGUCAUUGAUGCUGAUGAAAAGAAGAAACCAGUCAAAGAUUUUGAACCAAGACCCAAUAUUUCAGCUUAUGGAGACAAUGACAUUGAUGUUAAGGAAAAUAAGGGAGCCACCAACGAUUUUGAGCCAAGACCCAACAUUUCAGCUUAUGGAGACAAUGUCAUUGAUGAUAAUAAAAUGAAGAAACCAGUUGAAUAUUUCCAACCAAGACCAAACAUUUCAGCUUAUGGAGAAAAUGACAUUGAUGUUAAAAAAAGUAAAGAUUUUGAACCAAGACCCAACAUUUCAGCUUUUGGAGACAAUGACAUUGAUGUUAAUGAAAAGAAGGGAGAUACUAAAGAUUUCGAACCAAGACCAAAUAUUUCAGCUUAUGGAGACAAUGCCAUUGAUGAUGAUGAAAUGAAGAAACCAAUUAAAGAUUUUAAACCAAAACCAAACAUUUCGGCUUAUGGAGACAAUGUCAUUGAUGCUGAUGAAAUGAAGAAACCAGUCGAAGGUUUUGAACCAAGACCAAACAUUUCAACUUAUGGAGACAAUGUCAUUGAUGUUGAUGAAAUGAAGAAACAACAAGUCAAAGAUUUUGAACCAAGAACCAACAUUUCAGCUUAUGGAGACAAUGACAUUGAUGUUAAAGAAAAGAAGGGAGUCACCAACGAUUUUGAGCCAAGACCCAACAUUUCAGCUUAUGGAGACAAUGUCAUUGAUGCUAAUAAAAUGAAGAAACCAGUUGACGAUUUCCAACCAAGACCAACUAUUUCAGCUUAUGGAGACAAUGCCAUUGAUAAUAGUAAAACGAAUGAAGUCAUCAAAGAUUUUGAAUCAAGACCCAACAUUUCAGCUUACGGUAACAAUGAAGUUGACACUAAGAAAAAAGAAAAAGCUGCCAAAGAUUUUGAACAAAGACCCAUUAUUUCAGCUUAGGAAGACAACAUCAUUGAUGCUGAGAAAGAUGACGAGUUCACAAAGGAUUUUGAACGCAUGCCAAGAGUCACUAAAUAUGAUGCAUAACUUUAAUAAUUAAAAUAAAAUGCUAUUUCAAUUUCUGAUGUAAUACACUUAAUAAGUCAUUGCUACUUUAUGUUCAAUGAUAUUUAGUAUAUGUAUUAUGCAUUAAGCUUUUUGAAUGAAGGAACUUCUCCUUGUUUACUGAUGACAGUCAGUCAUUCACUAUUUUUAGAGUCUUUUUAUGAUAUUUUUGAGUUCACAAGCAAUCUUAAGCAACAAGAAAAGAAAGAAAAGUAAGAAAAAACUGAAGAAACUGAAAAGUGGGCAUCGUGUCACGAUUACUAAAAAGCGUGUCACGAUUUGGAACAUAGGAUGAGUUCAUUCAAGAUUGGUUAAAACGUGUCACGAUGGCUAUUUCGUGACACGAUUUUAAGAACAUGUGGCAAGAGAAAAUAUGAUCAAAAAGAGCAAAACAGGAGGUGUCAAGAAGUAAUGGAAUUAAGAAUUCCUAUUAAUUAAUGGGCUAUGUUGAUCCAAGAGGAGAAAAACGUGAUUAAUUGGAAAGGCAGCUGGGUUAGAUGAACCUAUAUAAAGAAGCAACAAGAGAGCUGCAAAUUAUCUUUCAAAAAAAAAAGAGAGAGCUGCAAAUUAUUCAAGAUGGUGACAUCACGGUUACGGCAAGAAUCACGUUUGGCACUUGUUGGAGAAGAAAAACGGGAACAAGCAUAUCACUAAGGAAGCAACAACGGCAAUUGAAAGAAAAUUGAGGAGCACUGUCGACAACGACUAAACUUUAUUGGUUUAAUUUCUUCUUUAUGUUGUUUGCUUAUUUGAUUAUGUCUAGCUAAACAUGGUUAGUCUAGGAAUGUAUAAUCCUUUACUAGUGAUAUUAGGUUAACGUGCUUAAAACCUUCAAAGAAUAUUAGCUCACCUAAGGAAUUAGGGACUGUAAUAUGAGAAGAGGGUCCUAACUCAAGGGAUGAAUUAUGACUAUUUUGUUAACUAUCGUGGAACUAGAAAAUCAUUCAUAAGAAUAGGUGCAGUAUACCCAUUUGGGGAACAUUGAUGACUCGAAAGACCUAGUCUCAUCUCUCCAUAUAUAGUUUCCAAAACUAUCUUUAUUUUCUGUUUAUUUAAUUUUAUGCAAUCAAAUCAAAUCUACAAACAAAAUAAUUUUUACAUCCUAAAUAUUUACUUUAUUGCUAAAUUGAGAUUAAUACAUUCUUCGUAGAUACGAACUUAUUUUAUUACUUCGAUGCAUGUUUAAUACACUUGCUAAAAGUCUAUCAUUUACCAAGAAUAGGAUAUAGUCUUGGUGAUUACAAGAAUGUUUCUUCGACAUUAAUAACUUCCUUGGCAGAUGUUAAAAUAUGGCGAUAUUUCCUUUAGAUCAAUCGAUCCUUCUUUUUGAAAUUAACCUGCACCGGCCCUUGUAUGUGUUUCAUGCUUCAUGUGCUUGAGCAUAUCACUCUAGUGUUUCCAGUUCCCACCAUUAAUGUCUAUCUUGUUUCCUAUUAUAUAACAACUACAAAAGAAAAAUUAUCUACAUCUAAAGGACUUUGCAUGUCAAGAAGAUACUCAAUCAUACACAAAAUUGUUAACGAAGUUUGAACAAUUUAAAAGAAAAUGUAACAAAAACGAAAAUGAAUUGAGGAAAACAUCUAGCUCGUAGGCCCACAGUUUUAAUUGCAUAUGUAUGUUACCCACGACGUAAACUUCUAUGGCUGAAGGAGUAUUUUUUUUACCAGAACUAUGGCUAAAGGUUAACGUGGGUAUGUGGCAAUUUUCUAGCAGAGCUUGUAUUAUUGCAUUAUCGUAGAACUACUAAUUUUUACUCCAAACACUCGGACAUUUUAUUGACGAGAAUUAAAAUUAGAGGUGGGAAGUUCCCGCGAGAAUGCAUAGUUUAGCUGGCAGGGACAAUACAUUAUUAUUAUAUAUAGAGAUUGAGGUUUGAAUCCCGAACACUCCACUUAUUCAUCUUAAAAAUGAAUUCUAACCAACUACAUCAAAACAACUCAAAUGACAAAGAAUGCAAGCCGUUUGCUAAUAAGUCUUAAAAUUUAUCUUUUUUUUUAAGUAAGUCUUAAAAUUUGAGCUACAACCAUUGAAAAUAAUUUAUAGCUAACAUUACUAUAUAGCGAUGAGGCUAAAUCGUUUCACUUUGAAACGAGCUUCAGCCUUAAGAUGAGAGCGGUUAGGGUUAUGUUUAUGUCAUUGAUCUUUUCCAGAUUUGAGAAACACCCCCGAGCCAAAUUUCAAGUAGGAAAAUCCAAAGUGUUAAAGUUGCUUUUGAAUAAAAUAGAUGAAAUCAUUUGGGCAUGGAGACUUAUAAAUUACCCAUAGUUCAACAAAAGCAACCUGAACCUCAAUGAGGUUACCUCAUUAUCCGUCACCGAUCAUCAACAUAGUUCUAUCAUGCUGAAUAUGCUAAGAUAAUUAUUAUUGGUCCCUUAGUAAAUGGAAACAAACUUUUUUUAAUCACCCUCUUCAUAAAUCUAAGAAUCCUUGGCUCUGUUCGGUAAAAAUAAGCUAUAAGCUAGCUGAUAGCUGAUAAGUUAGCUGAUAGCUGAUGAGUGAUAACUGAUAGCUGAUAGCUGAAAAGCUUGCUUAAUAAAAAUAAUGUGUUUGGUAAAAUUAGUUGUUGAAGUGGCUGAUAAAUAUAAAAUGACAUUUUUUUUUUUAAUAUACAUAUAAACACACAUUUUUUUGUAAUGUAUUUAUUUUUUAAUAUUUUUAAUUAUAGUUAAAUAUGUUUUUGGUCCCUAUAAAUAUUCAAAUUUUUGGUCUUAGUCUCCAUAAAAAAAUUCUUCGACCUUUAGUCCUAAAAAAAAAAUCACUGACAAUUUUGAUCUCUGCUUUAUGUAUCCCAAAAUUAAGAGAAAGGUGGAAACAAAAAGUGAGUUAGAAUAUAUAAAAUUUUACAACGUACAAAAGACUAGUUAUUUUUUCCUUUAAAAAAAAUAGGCUAGUUAUUUUUUUUGUGGUGUACGGCAGGUUAGUUAUAGCAAAAUAUAAAGCAUUUCCUUAAAAUAUAUAUAUAUAUAUAUAUAUAUAUAUAUAUAUAUAUAUAUAUAUAUAUAUAUAAAGUGCUCCUUAAAAAAAAAACUAUGUUGCAUUUUUUUUAAGGGAAAAAAUGGGGCGGUUAUAAAGAUGAACAUGAGUAGUUGUUUAAUUAAAAAAAUAAUUAAUUUAAAUUAAUAGGGUUAAAGUUGGAAGAAAAUAUAAAAAGCUACCAGCUAUAAGCUAAAAAGCUACUUGAAAUAGCUUUUCAAAAAACGCUAUAAGCUCAUGAAAAAAGCUUGUUACCAAACACGUCACGUUUUCAUCUAACGAGCUUAUAAGAUAAUCCAACAAACUAUAAGUUAACUUUUUUGUGUUACCAAACAUAACCCUUCUGUUUUUGGAGAGUAACAAUCCUAUUGUAACGUUUUUACUUGAGCGUUAAGAGAUGGAAGAACAGGGUAUUCAGAUCACCUUGGUUCCCCCUAACUUAUAGCGACACUGUCGGUAUCAGUAGUUGUCAUCAAAUUUGAUAAGCCAAGCCACCUUUAAUCCGCUCAAGUUAUUAAUCAUUCAAAGGCAUUUUCGGAAUUAAUCUUAAGCAGUUCAAGUUAGAAAUGAUUUGUUUAUUUAUGCGUUGGAGUCUAACAUGUCAAAUAUUAAAAUCACAACAUAUAAAUAAAAGCAUAAAUUUUAUUCUUAUCAAUGUUUAAUUUAAAUAUGUCUUCAAUGGCGUACCCUUCUCCCACAAAGACGCAUUUUUAGUAAUGAUGUUGAAAUCAACUUCUAUAGAUUGAGUAAACUCUGCAUUAUUUAAAAGAAAAUUUGAAACAAGAUUUUUUCAAAUUUAUGGAGUGUGCAUCACAUCCUCCUUCAGUAUUAGAGUCUUUCUGGAGAUGAACUUCAUCAUAUUAGUUUAAGUAACACAUGGAUCAAAUAAUCUUGAAACUUAAGUUGGAGUGCGCAAGCGGAUAAGGCUGGUUUUUUGUUUUGUUGCUUAAUAGCAGUUUUAGUCCCCUAACUUUUCUAAAGUUACGAUUUUGAUCCCUUAAGAAAAAGAACUACAAAACUGUCCCCUAAGUUUUGCAUAUGUGGCAGUUUUGACCCCCAAGGUCAAUUUUGACUCGGUCUACGCUCACGUGGCACCUUAAGUGAGGCGCCGCGUGUUAUUUUUCUUUACCAAAAAGUGCUAUUGGGGGGCCAAAACUGCCAGAGUUGCAAAACUUAGGGGCCGGUUUUGUAGUUUUUUUUUCUUAGGGGGCCAAUAUCGCAAAUUCGUGAAAGUUAGGGAGCGAAACUGCUAUUAAGCCUUUCUUUUAAUUGUUAGUUGGAUAAGAUUUAAACGAAACUUGUUCGUUAAGAAAAGCACUACCGGAUAAUGAUAAAAUUUAUUAAUUUAACAUUUUCGAAUGAUAAAAAAAACUUUGGCCUAAGCCCAACCCUAUGGCGUCACCGCAUAUGUGAUAUAUAUUUUCUUGAGCACUCUCGGUUCACAAAAAUGAGUAUCCAAGGCACACUCGUGAGAGUGAUUCUCCUUUUUUACUCAAAAAAAAAAAAAGAAAGAAAGAGUGAUUCUCCUUUUAAACAAACAUUAUUAAUGUGUUUCUUCUUAAAAAUUAAAAGUAAUGCACACAUUUCAAUACUUCCUCCGUCCUAAAUUAUAAGCAAAAAAAAAAAAAAUCACAUUUAUUAAGAAAACUAAAACAUAAGAAUUUGAAGUAUAAUUUUUUGUGUUUUCUUUAAAAAAAAAUUAUAGGAAGAUGUAAAAACAAUUUUCGUUGGCUAUUGGUUAUGGAAAAAGUGAAAGAGAGAGAAAAUUGAAUGUAAUUUGCGUUUAAUUUUAUGAGAAUAAACAAAAGUUUUUCUUGGGAAAAAGAUUUAAAAAAAAAGAUUAAAUAAGAUAAAAAUUUAUCUUUUUUGCUUAUAUUUUAGGACAAAGAAAAUGAGUUUUUUUGCUUAUAUUAUGAGACGGGGGGAAUAUAUGACACUUUUACCGUUUUCAAUUCACACCAUGCUAAUCCUAUCAAAUGUGAGACUUGUGUUUAUUUCAAUCUUCAUUCGUGAUUAAAUAGAAACUAACCAAUUAGAAUAUUGACAUUAGUAAGUACUCUAUGAAUACAAUAUUUAAAAGGAUACUGUUAACUUGUGCCCAUAGAGUAUAUGUUAAUAAACUUAAAAGAAGAAACUUUCUCUAAAAUUUUAUACAUUCAAUUAAUUAAAAAUUAAAAGUAAUGCACACAUUACAAUAAACUAUUUUUAUAUUUAAUUUUCCUAUUUAAAAAAGAUGCAAGAUGCACGUGAUAAGCACCAGACAAGUAUCAAUUUCAAAUCUCAAUAAUAAUCAAAGUGGAGGUGGUUUUCCUUAAAAAAAAAAAAAAAAGUAAGAGGAGGUGGUUGAAGCAAAAUUAACCCGGAUUUGCCCAGCUGUCAUUCCUAGGACGCACCUACAAUCUUAAAACCAAAAUGCUGGUCUAAUAUUAAGCAGUUAUAUUUAAAUGUUUUAAUUUUUUUACACUCAUUCAACACUUAAUUUUCAGAAUUUUUUUAUUUUUAUCUAAAAAAUUGUUUUUUGUUUAUAAGAGGGAAGAGAAAUAUAUAUUUUAAGAUAAAAGAAGAGGUAAAAGAAAAGUGUAAUUUCCUCAAAUUCUUAAUAUUAAUUUAAUAUUAAUAAUAGACACACGUGGUCACGUGCUAUCUACCAUGAUUGCUGAUUUUUUAUUUUUUUUUAGAGGAUGAUUGCUGAUCUUCUAGCUAUAAAUAGGUGAUUUAUUAGUUAUAGGAAUCAUCCACUUCCAUCGAAAUAUAAAAUCAGUGGCUUUUAAUAUCAAAGAUGAGACCUGCUCUUGCUUUAUUUCCCCUCUUGCUUUUCUUGGUAUGUUUUACUUUUCGUGGUUUCAAUUAGUAGAGUGCACUCUAAAUUCUAAUGCUUCAAAAUAAAAAAAACCUCUGAUAUUUUACAUUUAAUUGAACAAUUAUUUUCUUGUUGGAAAGUUUUUGUCUUUUCUUCCGGAUACUGAAAGUUAAUCGAUUAGUACUUCUUAGAGUAAUUUUAUGGAAAAUAUAAGUUAUUUCGUGUUUAUUUAUAUCCAUAAAAUCAUUUUUAAAUCUUCUUUAUCAUUUAUGAUUUCGUUAUAAUCACUGACGUCAAAAUUAUUGUCUGCCUUUCUGCUAUCGUAUUGCACUCAAUUGUUUGUUUAUUUCAUCUUAUUUUGUUAUUAAAUUUCAAUAAUAUAUCCCAAUCAGAUAAAGAUUUUAGGUUUAUUGAUGUGUUUAGCCCUUGCAAUUAGGCGGCAUUUAAAAAUUCGUCCCUGUAAUUGUUAAUCCUGGCAUUUUAACCCUGCAAUUGUUAAUCAUUUAAAAUUUCGUCCCUCUCCCCACUUAAUCACUGCCACGCCACAUGAAAUUCCAAAUUUACCCCUGGGUUUCCAAUUCUUUCUUCAAUAUUUUGUCCUCUUCUUAAGGGCAAAAUUGAAAUUUCAUGUGUGACAGUGAUUGCCACGUCAUCAAAUUAGUGACGUGGCAGUGAUUAAUUUGGUCCAAGGACCAAAUUUUAAACGAUUAACAAUUGCAGGGUUAAAAUGCCAGGAUUACCAAUUACAGGGACGAAUUUUUAAAUGCCGCCUAAUUGCAAGGGCUAAACACAUCAAUAAACCAAGAUUUUAUUCAUAUUGCAGUGGAAUUGCUUAUAUUAAAAUGAGAUGAGAUUUAGUUGAUUUUUUAAUUAAAAAUUUAAAUAGUAUUAUUCAAUACAAAAGAUAAACUUGUAAUUAAAAUAGUUUAACCGAAUGGUAUAAUUAGAAGAUAAAAACUCAGUCCAAAAUCUUGUACCCCCUUCACAUAGAGGUAUAGAUAGGUAUAUAUACCACAAUUAAAUAAAGAUUCAACGUGUCAUGUUUCUAUUAUAGUGAAAUUGUUCAUAUUAUACCGAGAUUUAACCAACUUUUCUAAUUAAAGGUUUAAAUAAUAUUUAAAAAAAAGUAAAAUUGUAAUAAGAAUAGUUAAUGAAGGGCACAACUGAAUGAUAAAAAGUCAUCCUAAAAUCAUAUUUCUUCUUUAUAUAUAUAUAUAUAUAUAUAUAUAUAUAUAUAUAUAUAUAUAUAUAUAUAUAUAUAUAUUGUACAACAGAAACUUGUGUUUAAAAUAAUUUUCAUUAUAAUAAGAUUUUACAUUUUUUUAAAUGUAAUUUAUUUCUUUGCUAAAAAAGUUAUUUAUUUCUCAUUAUUAACAAACUGCCAAGAUUGUGUGACACAAAUAAUAAAUAUUUUGGUCCCUUGACCAUUAGGUCCAUUGCACGGAAGAUGCCUUUUUUGAUUUACCAAAAAAUGAUUAGCAAGCUCGUUGGAAAUCCUUAAAUAUAAUUAUUUUAUAAAAAAAUCUCAAAUUAAAAAGUUCUUAUUUGAGCUAAUUAGCCAUACUUAUACGACUCACAUUGGUUAUUCACUUGAGUGAGUGUUUUUUUUCUGCAAAACAUUCAAGUGAGUGUUGGGGACCUGACCAAUAGCAAAAUAAAAAUAAAAAAACACAUAAAUAUUAUAUAAAUAUGACAUUGAUUAAUGUAAUCUUAUAAUUGAUAUUUACUAAUUCUAUUUAAAAGUUUAUUAUGUUCCAUUUAUUUCUCUUAAAAUCGCAAGCUCUCCCCCAAAAAACAUCUCCUCCACUUAAGAUCAAUCCACCUAAAUUUCUCUCCGAGAGUCAUUUUAAUCACUUUUACUUCUUAUUGAAUAGAAACCUAAAACAUCAUGAGAAAACAAAUUCUUAAAAGAAUAUCUCAAUUAAUGAUUAUUUUAAAAAUAUGUAGAUCAACCAUCUCUAAUAUUCUUGAAGUUAUUAUCGGAUAAAGAACAAUAGAUUCUGGUUGACAUGUUCCCGAUAAGAAGAUCUACUCUCAUCAGUUUGAGAAAAUGGGGCAUUCUUAAGGAACAUAAAACAAUUAUCAAUGAUUUUCCAAAUUUUAGGAUCAAUUUAUUAGGAUACAAGUUAAUAUGGUGGCUUUGCUGCUUAGAAAAGGCUUCCACAUUUUAUCUCAACUCCAACACUGCUUACGAUGUUCAAUAUGAUCUCCCUAUCCUUAAAAAAAAGAAUAUAAUAAAUAAUUAUGAGUGUUUUUUCCUUUUCGGUUAGGGAAUAAAUUUCUCUUUUAAACGAUUCUAUAUUAAAAAAGAGAGCUAUACAACUGCACAUAUAGACCAUUAUUUUUUCAUAUAUCUUAUUAAUUUCUUAUUUUGCGAUAAAGUUUGUAGCAAUUGUAGAAACAAGAAAAGAUUUGGGACAAUAUCGAAAACUAGUCAUGAAAGAUGAAGACAUGCGAAAAGAAAUUCAAGGGCUUCUUUACACCGAGACGAAAAAGAAUCUCAAGACUCCAAAGCAGUGUUUCAAAGGUUUUAAACAUGAUUGUGAAGAGCCAUUUGUAAUAGACACACAAGUCACCAUAGAAAAUGACAUCAUCCGUGCUAAGAGAAAGAAGGGAGUCACUAAAAAUUUUGAACCAAGACCAAAUGUUUCAAAAUAUGAAGAUAAUGACAUUAAUGCUGAGGAAAAGAAGAGAGUCGUCAAAGACUUUGAACCAAGACCUAAUGUUUCAGCUUAUGGAGCAAAUGAAAUUGAUGCUAAGGAUAAGAAGGGAGUUAUUGAUGAUUUUGAACCAAGACCCAAUGUUUCAGCUUAUGGAGACAAUGACGUUGAAGCUAAGAAAAAGAAGGGAAUCACUGAAGAUUUUGAACCAAGAUACAAUGUUUCAGCAUAUGGAGACAAUGGUGUAGAAGUUAAGGGAAAGAAGAAAGUCGUUAAAGAUUUCAAACCAAGACCAAAUGUUUCAGCUUAUGGAGACAAUGGUAUUGAUGUUAAGGAAAAUAAAGGAGCCAAUACGGAUUUUGAACCAAGACCAAAUUACGUUUCAGCAUAUGGAGACAAUAAUAUUGAUGUUACAGAAAAUAAAGGAGCCAAUAAAGAUUUUGAACCAAGAC